UAGGGAAUCUUCGGCAAUGGACGAAAGUCUGACCGAGCAACGCCGCGUGAGUGAAGAAGGUUUUCGGAUCGUAAAACUCUGUUGUUAGAGAAGAACAAGGAUGAGAGUAACUGUUCAUCCCUUGACGGUAUCUAACCAGAAAGCCACGGCUAACUACGUGCUAG
rnacentral:rRNA from 1 species